AUCCUGUCUGAAUAUGGGGGGACCAUCCUCCAAGGCUAAAUACUCCUGACUGACCGAUAGUGAACCAGUACCGUGAGGGAAAGGCGAAAAGAACCCCGGCGAGGGGAGUGAAAAAGAACCUGAAACCGUGUACGUACAAGCAGUGGGAGCCUCUUAAUGGGGUGACUGCGUACCUUUUGUAUAAUGGGUCAGCGACUUAUAUUCUGUAGCAAGGUUAACCGAAUAGGGGAGCCGAAGGGAAACCGAGUCUUAACUGGGCGUUAAGUUGCAGGGUAUAGACCCGAAACCCGGUGAUCUAGCCAUGGGCAGGUUGAAGGUUGGGUAACACUAACUGGAGGACCGAACCGACUAAUGUUGAAAAAUUAGCGGAUGACUUGUGGCUGGGGGUGAAAGGCCAAUCAAACCGGGAGAUAGCUGGUUCUCCCCGAAAGCUAUUUAGGUAGCGCCUCGUGAAUUCAUCUCCGGGGGUAGAGCACUGUUUCGGCAAGGGGGUCAUCCCGACUUACCAACCCGAUGCAAACUGCGAAUACCGGAGAAUGUUAUCACGGGAGACACACGGCGGGUGCUAACGUCCGUCGUGAAGAGGGAAACAACCCAGACCGCCAGCUAAGGUCCCAAAGUCAUGGUUAAGUGGGAAACGAUGUGGGAAGGCCCAGACAGCCAGGAUGUUGGCUUAGAAGCAGCCAUCAUUUAAAGAAAGCGUAAUAGCUCACUGGUCGAGUCGGCCUGCGCGGAAGAUGUAACGGGGCUAAACCAUGCACCGAAGCUGCGGCAGCGACACUAUGUGUUGUUGGGUAGGGGAGCGUUCUGUAAGCCUGUGAAGGUGUACUGUGAGGUAUGCUGGAGGUAUCAGAAGUGCGAAUGCUGACAUAAGUAACGAUAAAGCGGGUGAAAAGCCCGCUCGCCGGAAGACCAAGGGUUCCUGUCCAACGUUAAUCGGGGCAGGGUGAGUCGACCCCUAAGGCGAGGCCGAAAGGCGUAGUCGAUGGGAAACAGGUUAAUAUUCCUGUACUUGGUGUUACUGCGAAGGGGGGACGGAGAAGGCUAUGUUGGCCGGGCGACGGUUGUCCCGGUUUAAGCGUGUAGGCUGGUUUUCCAGGCAAAUCCGGAAAAUCAAGGCUGAGGCGUGAUGACGAGGCACUACGGUGCUGAAGCGACAAAUGCCCUGCUUCCAGGAAAAGCCUCUAAGCAUCAGGUAACAUCAAAUCGUACCCCAAACCGACACAGGUGGUCAGGUAGAGAAUACCAAGGCGCUUGAGAGAACUCGGGUGAAGGAACUAGGCAAAAUGGUGCCGUAACUUCGGGAGAAGGCACGCUGAUAUGUAGGUGAAGCGACUUGCUCGUGGAGCUGAAAUCAGUCGAAGAUACCAGCUGGCUGCAACUGUUUAUUAAAAACACAGCACUGUGCAAACACGAAAGUGGACGUAUACGGUGUGACGCCUGCCCGGUGCCGGAAGGUUAAUUGAUGGGGUUAGCGGUAACGCGAAGCUCUUGAUCGAAGCCCCGGUAAACGGCGGCCGUAACUAUAACGGUCCUAAGGUAGCGAAAUUCCUUGUCGGGUAAGUUCCGACCUGCACGAAUGGCGUAAUGAUGGCCAGGCUGUCUCCACCCGAGACUCAGUGAAAUUGAACUCGCUGUGAAGAUGCAGUGUACCCGCGGCAAGACGGAAAGACCCCGUGAACCUUUACUAUAGCUUGACACUGAACAUUGAGCCUUGAUGUGUAGGAUAGGUGGGAGGCUUUGAAGUGUGGACGCCAGUCUGCAUGGAGCCGACCUUGAAAUACCACCCUUUAAUGUUUGAUGUUCUAACGUGGGCCCCUUACCGGGGUUGCGGACAGUGUCUGGUGGGUAGUUUGACUGGGGCGGUCUCCUCCUAAAGAGUAACGGAGGAGCACGAAGGUUGGCUAAUCCUGGUCGGACAUCAGGAGGUUAGUGCAAUGGCAUAAGCCAGCUUGACUGCGAGCGUGACGGCGCGAGCAGGUGCGAAAGCAGGUCAUAGUGAUCCGGUGGUUCUGAAUGGAAGGGCCAUCGCUCAACGGAUAAAAGGUACUCCGGGGAUAACAGGCUGAUACCGCCCAAGAGUUCAUAUCGACGGCGGUGUUUGGCACCUCGAUGUCGGCUCAUCACAUCCUGGGGCUGAAGUAGGUCCCAAGGGUAUGGCUGUUCGCCAUUUAAAGUGGUACGCGAGCUGGGUUUAGAACGUCGUGAGACAGUUCGGUCCCUAUCUGCCGUGGGCGCUGGAGAACUGAGGGGGGCUGCUCCUAGUACGAGAGGACCGGAGUGGACGCAUCACUGGUGUUCGGGUUGUCAUGCCAAUGGCACUGCCCGGUAGCUAAAUGCGGAAGAGAUAAGUGCUGAAAGCAUCUAAGCACGAAACUUGCCCCGAGAUGAGUUCUCCCUGACUCCUUGAGAGUCCUGAAGGAACGUUGAAGACGACGACGUUGAUAGGCCGGGUGUGUAAGCGCAGCGAUGCGUUGAGCUAACCGGUACUAAUGAACCGUGAGGCUUAACCUU
rnacentral:rRNA from 1 species